rnacentral:rRNA from 1 species
GAUGAACGCUGGCGGCGUGCCUAAUACAUGCAAGUCGAGCGAACAGACGAGGAGCUUGCUCCUCUGACGUUAGCGGCGGACGGGUGAGUAACACGUGGAUAACCUACCUAUAAGACUGGGAUAACUUCGGGAAACCGGAGCUAAUACCGGAUAAUAUAUUGAACCGCAUGGUUCAAUAGUGAAAGACGGUUUUGCUGUCACUUAUAGAUGGAUCCGCGCCGCAUUAGCUAGUUGGUAAGGUAACGGCUUACCAAGGCAACGAUGCGUAGCCGACCUGAGAGGGGGAUCGGCCACACUGGAACUGAGACACGGUCCAGACACCUACGGGAGGCAGCAGUAGGGAAUCUUCCGCAAUGGGCGAAAGCCUGACGGAGCAACGCCGCGUGAGUGAUGAAGGUGUUCGGAUCGUAAAACUCUGUUAUGAGGGAAGAAAAAAUGUGUAAGUAACUAUGCACGUCUUGACGGUAACUAAUCAGAAAGCCACGGCUAACUACGUG